GACCGCGUAGCUCAGUUGGCAGAGCAUUGGGCUAGUAUUCCAAAGGUCGUAGGUUCAAUUCCCACCGUGGACA
rnacentral:tRNA from 1 species